UGUAACGGGGCUAAACCAUGCACCGAAGCUGCGGCAGCGACGCUUAGCGUUGUUGGGUAGGGGAGCGUUCUGUAAGCCGUUGAAGGUGGCCUGUGAGGGUUGCUGGAGGUAUCAGAAGUGCGAAUGCUGACAUAAGUAACGAUAAAGCGGGUGAAAAGCCCGCUCGCCGGAAGACCAAGGGUUCCUGUCCAACGUUAAUCGGGGCAGGGUGAGUCGACCCUAAGGCGAGGCUGAAAAGCGUAGUCGAUGGAAACAGGUUAAUAUUCCUGUACUUGGUGUUACUGCGAAGGGGGGACGGAGAAGGCUAGGCUAGCCGGGCGACGGUUGUCCCGGUUUAAGCGUGUAGGGGGUGUGACCUGGUAAAUCCGGUUACAUAUCAACCCUGAGCGUGAUGACGAUGCACUACGGUGCAGAAGUAGUUGAUGCCCUGCUUCCAGGAAAAGCCUCUAAGCUCUAGGUAACAUUAAAUCGUACCCCAAACCGACACAGGUGGUCAGGUAGAGAAUACCAAGGCGCUUGAGAGAACUCGGGUGAAGGAACUAGGCAAAAUGGUGCCGUAACUUCGGGAGAAGGCACGCUGGCAUGUAGGUGAAGUCCUUCGCGGAUGGAGCUGAAGCCAGUCGAAGAUACCAGCUGGCUGCAACUGUUUAAUAAAAACACAGCACUGUGCAAACACGAAAGUGGACGUAUACGGUGUGACGCCUGCCCGGUGCUGGAAGGUUAAUUGAUGGGGUCAGCCGCAAGGCGAAGCUCUUGAUCGAAGCCCAGUAAACGGCGGCCGUAACUAUAACGGUCCUAAGGUAGCGAAAUUCCUUGUCGGGUAAGUUCCGACCUGCACGAAUGGCGUAAUGAUGGCCAGGCUGUCUCCACCCGAGACUCAGUGAAAUUGAACUCGCUGUGAAGAUGCAGUGUACCCGCGGCAAGACGGAAAGACCCCGUGAACCUUUACUAUAGCUUGACACUGAACAUUGAGCCUUGAUGUGUAGGAUAGGUGGGAGGCUUUGAAGCGUGGACGCCAGUCUGCGUGGAGCCAUCCUUGAAAUACCACCCUUUAAUGUUUGAUGUUCUAACUCGGCCCGUGAUCCGGGGUGAGGACAGUGUCUGGUGGGUAGUUUGACUGGGGCGGUCUCCUCCCAAAGAGUAACGGAGGAGCACGAAGGUUAGCUAAUCACGGUCGGACAUCGUGAGGUUAGUGCAAAGGCAUAAGCUAGCUUGACUGCGAGAGUGACGGCUCGAGCAGGUACGAAAGUAGGUCUUAGUGAUCCGGUGGUUCUGAAUGGAAGGGCCAUCGCUCAACGGAUAAAAGGUACUCCGGGGAUAACAGGCUGAUACCGCCCAAGAGUUCAUAUCGACGGCGGUGUUUGGCACCUCGAUGUCGGCUCAUCACAUCCUGGGGCUGAAGUAGGUCCCAAGGGUAUGGCUGUUCGCCAUUUAAAGUGGUACGCGAGCUGGGUUUAGAACGUCGUGAGACAGUUCGGUCCCUAUCUGCCGUGGGCGUUGGAAGAUUGAGAGGGGUUGCUCCUAGUACGAGAGGACCGGAGUGAACGCACCACUGGUGUUCGGGUUGUCAUGCCAAUGGCAUUGCCCGGUAGCUAAGUGCGGAAAAGAUAAGCGCUGAAAGCAUCUAAGCGCGAAACUUGCCUCAAGAUGAGUCUUCCCUGGGCCUUCAAGGCCCCUGAAGGAACGUUUAAGACUAAGACGUUGAUAGGCUGGGUGUGUAAGUGCAGCGAUGCAUUGAGCUAACCAGUACUAAUGAUCCGUGAGGCUUAACCUUACAACACCGAAGGUGUUU
rnacentral:rRNA from 1 species